rnacentral:rRNA from 1 species
GUCUAUGGCCAUGCUACCCUCAACAAGCCCGAUCCUGUCUGAUCUCGGAAGCUAUGCAGGGUCGGGCCUGGUUAGUACUUGGAUGGGAGACCACCUAGGAAGACCAGGUGCUGUAUGCG